AUGUGAUUUUUCCAAGCUUUCUAUGACCAUUGCAGUGGUCUGAGCGGCAUCAACACUGCCAAUAUUGUGCUGCUUCCAAAGAAAGAGAACCCAACAGAUAUCCGGGAUUUCAGGCCCAUUGCUUUGGUCCAUAGUAUACCCAAGCUUACAACGAAGGUUUUAGCAGUCCGGCUUCAACGUAUCAUCCCAAGCCUCAUACACCCCUUAGAAUCUGGUUUUCUGCCUGGAAGAUGCAUAGCUGAAAAUUUCGCUUUGGCAGCAGAACUGGUUCAGCAGGCAAAAAAGAGAAAAAGCCAAUGUUAG
rnacentral:rRNA from 1 species